UUUUUUAUUUAAAAGGAUCGUCUCCGCCCCAUUGCAGGCAAGAUAGUAUGUGGAGGUAAACUGUGUCAACUACUCUGGAUCGCCUAGUUUAAAAGAUGGCGUGUGACCUCUGACCCCUGUUGCCGGUAAACGCCGUGGACCAUGGCUGCCCCAGAAGCUUCUGGAGGGAGCCAGCUGCAGAGGAUCGUCCGAGAGCUGCAGGAUUCAUCUACUCUGGAAAUUCAUCAGUGUCACCUUCAGUGUCAUCCCCACGUUCUGAUUUCAGAUCUCAACUUUGCCUCUUAUUGUCUGAUAAAUCCUAUGACUUUUCAGCUCAGUCUCCACUGUGAUUUCCUCAUUACCACACAUAUGUACACGUCUCUGAAAAUGUGUAUGUAUAUUUAUAUGCAUCAUCAUCAGUCUAUGAAAUAUAAUGGAUUUCUCUGUU